rnacentral:rRNA from 1 species
UUGUCUCUCUUGAGUGGAUCCUGAGUACGACGGAGCACGUGAAAUUCCGUCGGAAUCUGGGAGGACCAUCUCCUAAGGCUAAAUACUCUCUAGUGACCGAUAGUGAACCAGUACCGUGAGGGAAAGGUGAAAAGCACCCCGGAAGGGGAGUGAAAUAGAACCUGAAACCGUGUGCUUACAAGUAGUCAGAGCCCGUUAAUGGGUGAUGGCGUGCCUUUUGUAGAAUGAACCGGCGAGUUACGAUUUGAUGCAAGGUUAAGCAGUAAAUGUGGAGCCGUAGCGAAAGCGAGUCUGAAUAGGGCGUUUAGUAUUUGGUCGUAGACCCGAAACCAGGUGAUCUACCCUUGGUCAGGUUGAAGUUCAGGUAACACUGAAUGGAGGACCGAACCGACUUACGUUGAAAAGUGAGCGGAUGAACUGAGGGUAGCGGAGAAAUUCCAAUCGAACCUGGAGAUAGCUGGUUCUCUCCGAAAUAGCUUUAGGGCUAGCCUCAAGUGAUGAUUAUUGGAGGUAGAGCACUGUUUGGACGAGGGGCCCCUCUCGGGUUACCGAAUUCAGACAAACUCCGAAUGCCAAUUAAUUUAACUUGGGAGUCAGAACAUGGGUGAUAAGGUCCGUGUUCGAAAGGGAAACAGCCCAGACCACCAGCUAAGGUCCCAAAAUAUAUGUUAAGUGGAAAAGGAUGUGGCGUUGCCCAGACAACUAGGAUGUUGGCUUAGAAGCAGCCAUCAUUUAAAGAGUGCGUAAUAGCUCACUAGUCGAGUGACACUGCGCCGAAAAUGUACCGGGGCUAAACAUAUUACCGAAGCUGUGGAUUGUCCUUUGGACAAUGGUAGGAGAGCGUUCUAAGGGCGUUGAAGCAUGAUCGUAAGGACAUGUGGAGCGCUUAGAAGUGAGAAUGCCGGUGUGAGUAGCGAAAGACGGGUGAGAAUCCCGUCCACCGAUUGACUAAGGUUUCCAGAGGAAGGCUCGUCCGCUCUGGGUUAGUCGGGUCCUAAGCUGAGGCCGACAGGCGUAGGCGAUGGAUAACAGGUUGAUAUUCCUGUACCACCUAUAAUCGUUUUAAUCGAUGGGGGGACGCAGUAGGAUAGGCGAAGCGUGCGAUUGGAUUGCACGUCUAAGCAGUAAGGCUGAGUAUUAGGCAAAUCCGGUACUCGUUAAGGCUGAGCUGUGAUGGGGAGAAGACAUUGUGUCUUCGAGUCGUUGAUUUCACACUGCCGAGAAAAGCCUCUAGAUAGAAAAUAGGUGCCCGUACCGCAAACCGACACAGGUAGUCAAGAUGAGAAUUCUAAGGUGAGCGAGCGAACUCUCGUUAAGGAACUCGGCAAAAUGACCCCGUAACUUCGGGAGAAGGGGUGCUCUUUAGGGUUAACGCCCAGAAGAGCCGCAGUGAAUAGGCCCAAGCGACUGUUUAUCAAAAACACAGGUCUCUGCUAAACCGUAAGGUGAUGUAUAGGGGCUGACGCCUGCCCGGUGCUGGAAGGUUAAGAGGAGUGGUUAGCUUCUGCGAAGCUACGAAUCGAAGCCCCAGUAAACGGCGGCCGUAACUAUAACGGUCCUAAGGUAGCGAAAUUCCUUGUCGGGUAAGUUCCGACCCGCACGAAAGGCGUAACGAUUUGGGCACU